rnacentral:rRNA from 1 species
UGGGGAAUAUUGCACAAUGGGCGCAAGCCUGAUGCAGCGACGCCGCGUGGGGGAUGACGGCCUUCGGGUUGUAAACUCCUUUCGCUAGGGACGAAGCUUUUUGUGACGGUACCUAGAUAAGAAGCACCGGCUAACUACGUGCCAGCAGCCGCGGUAAUACGUAGGGUGCGAGCGUUGUCCGGAAUUACUGGGCGUAAAGGGCUCGUAGGUGGUUUGUCGCGUCGUCUGUGAAAUUCCGGGGCUUAACUCCGGGCGUGCAGGCGAUACGGGCAUAACUUGAGUACUGUAGGGGUAACUGGAAUUCCUGGUGUAGCGGUGAAAUGCGCAGAUAUCAGGAGGAACACCGAUGGCGAAGGCAGGUUACUGGGCAGUUACUGAAGCUGAGGAGCGAAAGCAGGGGUAGCGAACAGG